rnacentral:sRNA from 1 species
GGAUGGAUCACCUCCUUUCUAAGGAAACAAUAAAAUUAUCAUCUUCAGUUUUGAAAGACUUAGAAAAUUAAUAAGUUUCUCUUUUUUAAGGCAUUAAGGGCCUAUAGCUCAGCUGGUUAGAGCACACGCCUGAUAAGCGUGAGGUCGGUGGUUCAAGUCCAUUUAGGCCCACCAGUUUAUUUUAAAAGUUAUAAGCGUUGUCUUAAAAAAAGUUCUUUGAAAAGUAGAUAAACAUAGUAAAAUCAAAAAAAUUGAAGGAAUUAAGAGCGCAUAGUGGAUGCCUUGGCACCAAGAGCCGAUGAAGGACGCAAUUAACGGCGAUACGCCACGGGGAGUUGUAAAUAAAUGAAGAUACGUGGAUUUCCGAACGGGGAAACCUACUAUAACAACAAUAUAGUUUUUUGAUUUUCGAAUCAAAAAGGGAUACGCAGUGAACUGAAAUAUCUAAGUAACUGCAGGAAAAGAAAGUAAUAACGAUUCUGGUAGUAGUGACGAGCGAAUCCGGAGGAGCCUGAUACCGCCACUAGUUACAAAAUUUUAACCAACUUGAAGUUUUUGGGAAAAAACACCAAAGAAGGUGAUAGUCCUGUAAGGGUAAGUUAAAAUCUAGGGUAUCGAAAAGUACGGCGAGACACGAGAAAUCUUGUUGGAACAUAGGGAGGACCAUCUCCUAAGGCUAAAUACUACUUGGUGACCGAUAGUGAACUAGUACCGUGAGGGAAAGGCGAA